GAGAAUUAGGGUUCGAUUCCGGAGAGGGAGCCUGAGAAACGGCUACCACAUCUACGGAAGGCAGCAGGCGCGUAAAUUACCCAAUCCUGAUUCAGGGGAGGUAGUGACAAGAAAUAACAACUCGGGGCCUCACGGCUUACGAGAUUGCAAUGAGAACAAUUUAAAUCUCUUAGCGAGGAACAAUUGGAGGGCAAGUCUGGUGCCAGCAGCCGCGGUAAUUCCAGCUCCAAUAGCGUAUAUUAAAAGUUGUUGCAGUUAAAAAGCUCGUAGUUGAAUUUUCUGAUUAUGGAUGUAGCGGUUUCCGUUACAUUUGUAGUCAUCCACAUGAGAACCUUUCUCGGCCUUCACUGGUCGGUUGGGGAUCAUGUACUUUACUUUGAAAAAAUUAGAGUGUUCAAAGCAGGCUUACGCUUGAAUACUUCAGCAUGGAAUAAUGGAAUAGGACUU
rnacentral:rRNA from 1 species